rnacentral:rRNA from 1 species
GAUGAACGCUGGCGGCGUGCCUAACACAUGCAAGUCGGGCGAGAUCUUCUGGAACAAAACUUCGGUCUAGUGAAGGAAGUGGAAGCGGCGGACGGGUGAGUAACGCGUAGGCAACCUGCCCCAUACAGAGGGAUAGCCUCGGGAAACCGGGAUUAAAACCUCAUAACGCGACCUGGUCACAUGGCCGGAUCGCCAAGAUUUAUCGGUAUGGGAUGGGCCUGCGUCUGAUUAGCUAGUUGGUGAGGUAACGGCUCACCAAGGCGACGAUCUGUAGCCGACCUGAGAGGGUAAUCGGCCACAUUGGAACUGAGACACGGUCCAAACUCCUACGGGAGGCAGCAGUGGGGAAUAUUGCACAAUGGGCGAAAGCCUGUUGCAGCAACGCCGCGUGAGUGAUGAAGGCCUUUGGGUCGUAAAGCUCUGUCCUAAGGGAAGAAACAAAUGACGGUACCUUAGGAGGAAGCCCCGGCUAACUACGUGCCAGCCGCCGCGGUAACAC